AACCUGCCGGUGGAUCAAUACUGAAUAUUAGCUCUUGAUGCUUCAUAUUCGGUGAUGAAUCCNAACUUAAAACGGUCACCAUUGGCGUCUAUACGUACUGCUAACGCUCGCUAACCGUCGACGCGUAUUGAUCAGUAUGCAUAGCAUUCACAGCAUCUCACGUAUGCACUUCAUUGUGUAUGUGUGAGUGUUGAUGGGUGUAGACUUAAUGAAUUUCCGCUCCGGAUUUCGCCAAUAUCAUAUCUUUAUUGUACUCGAAAAAAAGACAUUACUACUCCUAGUGGUGGAUCACUCGGCUCGCAGGUCGAUGAAGAACGCAGCUAGCUGCGAUAGUUGGUGCGAAUUGCAAACACAUUGAGCACUAAAGUUUCGAACGCAUAUUGCGCCGUCGGUUUUUCCGUCGGCAGGUCUGUCUGAGGGUUACAAACAUGUACUUGCAAGGUAACGCUAGCAUGUUGCGUUAUUUUGUUUAGCGAGAAGCUCGGUGUGCGUGUGUGAUACGUGCUAGUGUGUCACACAUGUAUCGUCCUUCUCUGGUUUGUCAUUCUCAAUGAUAUAUAAUCAUCUGAAUCACGAACACGUGCAAGUAGUGUUUGCUGAUGAUUUAAUGUCAUUUUACAAUUGCAACCUCAGAUCAGUCCUGAUUACCCGCUGAACUUAAGCAUAUCAGUAAGCGGAGGAAAAGAAACUAACUAUGAUUCCUUUAGUAACAGCGAGUGAACGAGGAAGAGCCCAGCGCUGAAUCUUUCGGUCUAUGGCCGCUAAGAAUUGUAGCGUAUAGGUGUGGCUUUCUACGACCGAUGUAUACUCAAAGUCCCUUUGAUUGGGGCCACAGUCCUGAGAAGGUGCAAGACCUGUACGAGUUGCAUUGUGUUGUAGUCGGUUGCUCCUUGGAGUCGGGUUGCCUGAGAACGCAGCCUGAAUUGGGUGGUAAACUCCAUCUAAGGCUAAAUAGUACUGCGAGUCCGAUAGCAAACAAGUACCGUGAGGGAAAGUUGCAAAGAACUUUGAAGAGAGAGUUCAAGAGUGCGUGAAACCACUGGGAUGGAAACGGAUAGAGUUGACGAAUUGGGCGAUAUUCAGCUGUUUUGCGUGAGCAAAGCGGUGUACUUAUCGUCUGUAUGCGCUGAGAGUCUUGAUUGAACAUUCUAAACCGUCGUAUCGUUGCCCGUCGUCUCACGAUGAUGGUGUCUUGUGCGUGCGGGUUGGGAUGUUUCGAUUAAGUAUUUUCGGUGUGAAAGUCGACCACCUAUCCGACCCGUCUUGAAACACGGACCAAGGAGUCUAGCGUAUGUGCGAGUCAUUGGGUGGUAAACCUAUUGGCGUAACGAAAGUAAAGGUCGUUUCUUGCGGCUGAUAUGGGAUCCGUACGGUUUCGGCCGUGCGGCGCACCAUAGCCCUGUCUCGAAGGCUUGCCUUGAGAUGGAGGUAGAGCGCAUGCGCUAGGACCCGAAAGAUGGUGAACUAUACGUGAGCAGGAUGAAGCCGGAGGAAACUCUGGUGGAAGUCCGUAACGGUUCUGACGUGCAAAUCGAUCGUCUGACUUGCGUAUAGGGGCG
rnacentral:rRNA from 1 species